GUUUGGCUUCUGCUAAUUUGUGAUAUGGAGUUUGACUCUUCGGUUUUGCUUGAAUUCUUCUUGUAGUGCACGGAAAAAUGCGAAUAGAGAAAUAAUUAUAAUAAAAAUACGAGUGAUUUGAAAUCUUCGACAUCUUUUUAUUCGUCAGGGGAUGAACCACAAUCCUGUGUCCUAAUCAAGUCAUCUCAUCCUAUGAGUCCUGGCAAGAAUGGAAAGGCGGAUUCGCCUAAAGACUCUAAACCCUUACAUAACGUGCAAAAUCUGUAAAGGAUAUUUAAUUGAUGCUACAACUGUUACAGAGUGUCUACAUACAUGUAAGUAUUUAAAUUAAAUCUAUCAAUAUAUAAAGUCAAAUCUUGAUUUAGCAUUAAACUGAAGAAUUUUAAACAAUAAGAAUCAUAUGGUAAAAGUGAUUAACCAGUGAUUAUGCAUAAUUACCAAUCAUCUUGGCAAGUUUGAUAAAUUUCACUAAAUUUCUCACUUUUACCAGUGAUUUUGCAUAAUUCCCAAAUGAAGUUGGUAUAUUGGGUGUAUAAAUAUUAGUGAUGCCACGAAUAGUGAUUUUGCUGAAUACCGAACAUUCAGCUACGCUCUUGGCCGAAGCGCCGAAUAUUCGGCGGCCGAAUGUUCGGCAAAAUAUGUGUACAUUUCGCGGGUGAUAUGUUACGACCUGAUACAUUGCGGUGGGUGCGGUAGCGACACUGCGGGCACAUUUGUUUUAUUUGCGAGUAGAUCAUGUCACAACAUGCAUUAUUUGUUCAUUGUUACAUCAAAUUGCGUUACUAAUUAUUACUAAAAAAUAUCACUGUAUCACUUUAUAUGAAAACUGUUCGCCUAGAUCGGACGGCAGACCUUUACAAGUGGUGGUCAGCAAACGCAAAACAGUAUCCAAGCCUGACAGAAUUUGCUAAGAUUUAUCUAUCGUCUCCCGGCAGUAGUGUAUAUAGUGAGAGGCUAUUUUCAGAAGCAGGUAUAGUUUAUGAGGAAAAGCGCAAUCGUUUGCUAUCAACAAAUGCUGAAAAAAUUGUUUUCAUUCAUUACAACUUACCACUGAUAUAUUUUAAGUAUUAAAUGUAAUAAUUUAUGAUUAAAAUAAAUACGUUUUGAGUAAUA